UGCAGUCGAGGGGUAGAAUAGCUUGCUAUUUUGAGACCGGCGCACGGGUGCGUAACGCGUAUGCAACCUACCUUGAACAGGGGGAUAGCCCAGAGAAAUUUGGAUUAAUACCCCAUGGUAUAUUUGGAUGGCAUCAUUCGAUUAUUAAAGUUCCAACGGUUCAAGAUGGGCAUGCGUCCCAUUAGCUUGUUGGUGAGGUAACGGCUCACCAAGGCGACGAUGGGUAGGGGUCCUGAGAGGGAGAUCCCUCACACUGGUACUGAGACACGGACCAGACUCCUACGGGAGGCAGCAGUGAGGAAUAUUGGUCAAUGGGCGCAAGCCUGAACCAGCCAUGCCGCGUGCAGGAUGACGGCCCUAUGGGUUGUAAACUGCUUUUGUACGGGAAGAAACACUCCUACGUGUAGGGGCUUGACGGUACCGUAAGAAUAAGGAUCGGCUAACUCCGUGCCAGCAGCCGCGGUAAUACGGAGGAUCCAAGCGUUAUCCGGAAUCAUUGGGUUUAAAGGGUCCGUAGGCGGACCUGUAAGUCAGUGGUGAAAUCUCACGGCUCAACCGUGAAAUUGCCAUUGAUACUGCAGGUCUUGAAUUUCCGGGAAGUAACUAGAAUAUGUAGUGUAGCGGUGAAAUGCUUAGAUAUUACAUGGAAUACCGAUUGCGAAGGCAGGUUACUACCGGUGGAUUGACGCUGAUGGACGAAAGCGUGGGGAGCGAACAGGAUUAGAUACCCUGGUAGUCCACGCCGUANACGAUGGAUACUAGCUGUUGGGCGCAAGUUCAGUGGCUAAGCGAAAGUGAUAAGUAUCCCACCUGGGGAGUACGAACGCAAGUUUGAAACUCAAAGGAAUUGACGGGGGCCCGCACAAGCGGUGGAGCAUGUGGUU
rnacentral:rRNA from 1 species